UGAACCAGAAAGUUAGCUAUGGCCGCAUCGUCGAGACGUUCCGUUUCUGAUCUAUUAAGAGAGACUGCCAACAGAUUGGAUGAGUUAGAAGGCGAUAUUCCAACACCUAGACCAUUGGCAUCGGCCCGACAUCCAGUAGAUGCUGAGGUUGCAAGGUUGUUUGCUCCAGCUACGAUAAGACCUAGGCAACCAAGACAGACUUCUAGAAGCAGCAUUAUUCCUACGUACACACACACAUAUUUCUGCUUAGCACAAAAGGAGGCUUCAGUUGUUCCUAGACGAGGAGAAAAAGAAUUCUUACAAAGGGCAGGACUGGGGGAAAAG